AUGAACGCUGGCGGCACGGAUAAGUCAUGCAAGUCGAACGGUGCAAGGUAGCAAUACUUUGCAUAGUGGCGAACGAGUUAGUAACACCUUGGUACGUACUCCGAAGUUGGGCAUAAUCCCGCGAAAGCGGGACUAAUUCCCGAUGGUGCAGUAAUGCUAAAGAAGCAAUUCGCUUCGGAAGCGGCCUAGGUCCUAUCAGCUUGUUGGCGGGGUAAUGGCCCACCAAGGCUAUGACGGGUAGGGGGUGUGAGAGCACGACCCUCAACGAUGGAACUGAGAAACGGUCCAUACACCUACGGGUGGCAGCAGACGAGAAUAUUCGACAAUGGGCGAAAGCCUGAUCGAGCGAUGCCGCGUGCAGGAAGAAGGACUUCGGUCCGUAAACUGCUUUUGCGUGGGAGAAAUUUUGAUAGUACCACGAGAAUAAGGGGUUGCUAACCUCGU
rnacentral:rRNA from 1 species